rnacentral:rRNA from 1 species
AGUGAACGCUGGCGGUAGGCCUAACACAUGCAAGUCGAACGGCAGCACAGUAAGAGCUUGCUCUUACGGGUGGCGAGUGGCGGACGGGUGAGGAAUACAUCGGAAUCUACUUUUUCGUGGGGGAUAACGUAGGGAAACUUACGCUAAUACCGCAUACGACCUACGGGUGAAAGCAGGGGAUCUUCGGACCUUGCGCGAUUGAAUGAGCCGAUGUCGGAUUAGCUAGUUGGCGGGGUAUAGGCCCACCAAGGCGACGAUCCGUAGCUGGUCUGAGAGGAUGAUCAGCCACACUGGAACUGAGACACGGUCCAGACUCCUACGGGAGGCAGCAGUGGGGAAUAUUGGACAAUGGGCGCAAGCCUGAUCCAGCCAUACCGCGUGGGUGAAGAAGGCCUUCGGGUUGUAAAGCCCUUUUGUUGGGAAAGAAAAGCGGCAGGUUAAUACCCCGCUGUUCUGACGGUACCCAAAGAAUAAGCACCGGCUAACUUCGUG